CAAAUUUUUUAGGUUCAAAAUGCAGUUGAAACAUUUUUAUUAAAGCAUGAAUUUAGGCGCAGUCCGGAAUGGAGCACACAGCACACAAGCAAACAAAUUGAAAGCGAUUUUGUUGUUUCAUUUGAAUUUGAGUAGACUUUAGUUUGAAUUUAGUAAAUGCCCCGCCUCAGCCCCGCACGAACCGCCACCAAAACCACCAGCAGACAAUGCAGAAGAAUCAGCACGAAAUUUGAUCAGUUUUGAAUAUACGUUACAGAAAAGUGAAUUUGGAUGAGCAUAUAAUUUGUGGAAUAGGAGAGAUCGAGAUCGAAAGUAAGAGAGAGUGGAGAAUAUUCUUUGCUAGUUUUUAAUUUCUUUUUAGUUAUGUAACGAGUCAGUUGUAGUAACGCUUUGUUUUCUAUAGAUACCCUCUACGCAUAUGUAUAUGUACAUACAAAACAAACCGAUAACUAACUAUACAUACGAGUAUAUAUAUAUAAAGAUACGAUACGAUACACCUAGAAGAACCCUGUCUAUAGGCGAUAGAACCCUACUGUAUCCUACGUUUAGACGAUUAAUUUAAAUAAAUUGAAUUGUUUUCUAAUUUUACGCCUUGCAACACUUAAGUAAAAACGAAAUGGAAUUUAAUUUUUACAAAAAAGAAAGAACGAGAGAAGAGAAGAGAGAGAUGGCAGAUAAACAACAUAAAUACAUAUGCUAGGAGAACCUUUGAUUUGAAUGGAAUUUGUUUGAGAUCAUUUUCAUUGUGUGCGGAUUUUGUAGUAUUAUUUUCCAACUGAAGCACAUGGACCGAUUUGAAUAUAUAUAUGUACCAUAUGUGUAUGUAUGGAUUUUAUGCAAGAUACGACUAAAGCGAUACAAAUAAUGGCAUAGGCAUAUACAUAUGUAGCUCUGAAUAUGUAUACGUAAAUAUUAAUAAUAAAUUAUGAUUACGUUUACACUGUACUUUUAUUUAUGUAUUCUAAUUUGUAUGCGUUAAUCCUUAGUUAACUAUUAUUAUUACAUUUACUUAAUUAAUGAUUUAAAUUUAACUAAUUCAAACAAUGAGAGGAGGAACAAAGCAUUGUACAAGCGAGGAUUUAUUGAUGAAAACAAAAUGCAUAUAUGAGAAAAUAUUUGAAAAAAUAACAUUUUGUGUUUGUGUUUUUAUUUGCUUUUGGUUUUCAUUGGUUUGGUUUGCCACUUUGUUCAUUUUACAGCGGGGCAAGGACUCUUAUCAUUUCGUUUGCGACACACUGAGGAGACCUUCUCCAAGAGAAUGGAAUCCUCUACCCCACACAAAUAUGAUUUGUUUCUUUUUGGUGUAGUACACAAUUGGAUCACCGACACAUGCUAAGGAACUGAAUUGAAUUUACAUUGCUUGUGAAUCUGAUUAAUCUUAAAUGGUAACGAAUAUACGUAAAUGCAGAGGGCAACAAAUCGAAAUUUAAGUAAUUUAUUUGAAAUUUAUUGAAUAUGAACGAAGAACCGAUUGAGGAAGGUGUGGAAAAGCGAGUACCUUUUUUUUGGAAAAAAACAAAAUUGAAAAAACAAAAGCGAAUGAUUGUUUGGCCUGCUCUUUGAAUGAAACUCGAGCUUCUUUUGCAUGGGAACCCAUCAUUUGUUUAGCACACUCACAUCUAGGCACAUUCAUCCAACAUCCAACUAAUUAUCACACUCGAAACAAUCACUCAAAAUGUAUACGAACUUCUCUAAGAAUCCCCAAAGAAUGAAAAUCUUUAUGCGAAUUUUUUGCACCUAUCACGUGAAGCGAUAAAUUUAUUUACAAAAUUUGCUAAGCCGCAAAAUCAGUAAUUGAGAAACUGUAACAGCAAUUGAAACAUUUUCCCAAUAUACAACAGAUCUAUACGAUACGAUAUACGAGUACUAGUACGCAUCGCUAGUAAUUUAUUAGACUAUACAUAUAAAUAUAUAAAGAGUAGUUAAAUAAUCGACACAAUUGACUUCAAAACGUUUAAACGCAAACUGUACAGAACGCCUUAAAUGAGAAACCCAAAGUGGAAGCAUUGAAUGAAUGAAUGAUGUAUACGAGUCUACAUAGAGAACAUAAACCAUAGAUGCAUAGCUAUACAGUAACUAAAUUUUAAUAAAUCUCGAUUAGUAUAUAUCUAUACAUAUAUCAUACGCAUUAUCGCAUAAGAAAACGAACCAAAUGUAGUCGAACCAAAGGGAGGUGUGAACUUUCUCCGGACAGUCGCACCCUUGAGCUUUGGAGGGGAGUUGCGAGAGAGUCCCACACCUGAGCACUUCCAAGUAUUUUGUAUGAGCUUUUUGGUGUUUUCUACGUUCGACACUCAGGGUGAACUCUCUUCCUCUGCCCCUCUCCUGAUCUCUAUGGGUUAGUUCGAGAAAAACACAUCGCUAUUCUGGUUCGACAAAAGCUUGUAAAUUGAAUCACUUGUAGAUGGAUGGAUAGUACGAUUCAUUUGGGGCGAAUGCAAUAUGUAAGCGUGUGUGUGUGUCAAGUCAGUGUUGAUUAAUGUCAGGCCGAUGUACGAUUUAUAAUACGCAUUGUAUAUGGAAACGAAACGAACUUGAAGAAGGCUUCUUAUGUUUGAACUAAUUUUUGUGUCAGAAUUUAAAUUAAAAUGUGAUUUUUCUCGAAACUUUAAUGUAUACGCCGUAAAUAUUAUAAAUAUGAUUAUUAAGUGCUACAGCAACAUUAUUAUUAUUAUUAAAUGAUUAUUAUAAACAUAGUCGCUGCACUUACAAGUGUAAUGUAUGUAAUAAAUAUUGUACAUUUUUGACAAUUCCCAUUGAGAAUACUCUGUAAAUACUGCGCAACAUUUGCAUAGAUCACCCCCUCCCACUUAAAUCGUAAAUGGCAGAAGAAGCGCAGCCGAGCAAAUGCAACCCUGAGCAUAGACUAAAAAAUGCACAAGAAACCGAACGUAAAGAACGAACGAGACAACAAUUUAAACUUAAAACUUACCCACGCGACAGCAUCAGUAAACCCAGAAGAAUGAAAGAGAUAGGAACACGAUCGAGAGAGCAAGCGAGCGAGCGAGCGAGAGCGAGAGCGUGCGCCUGAUGCACCCAAGAGUUAGAAAGGGAGAGCUAGCUCUUUGGUGGCAGGCAAAAAUAUAUAGUACAUAAAUCAAUGGGAAAACAAACACAAGUUACGAAAUAGAAUCCGAAAAUGCGUUGGAGUUGGAGUAAAAAAUUAUAAAUAUAUUUAUAUGGAGAAUUGAAUUAAAUAAAUGUUUGUGCGUGUAAAAAUUAACUUUAACUAAAUUGCUAGACUUAAAGCCGGAAUGAAUUAAAGUAAAUUAUAAUAAAUAUAAUUAUAAAUAUAUUGAAAGGAAAGUAUCAUUAAAUUAAUUAACUAAUUGAAGCUUCUAUGUAAAGAAAUAAAAACCAAUUAACGAAUUCCUGAACUUGUUGUAUGAGAUUGAUGAAUGGAUGGACUUAUGGAUGGAUGGAUGCAUGAGUGCUAGGGAUAUCUUUCUCUCUCUCUAGCGGAACCAUAAUCAUGGUGGGGAGGAGCAACAAGAACGAAACAGAAUACGA